AGGAUAAACGCUGGCGGCGUGCCUAACACAUGCAAGUCGAACGCGCUUGCUAUCCGCGAGGACGGUGAGCGAGUGGCGGACGGGUGAGGAACACGUGGGUGACCUACCUUUCAGUGAGGGAUACCGGCGAGAAGUUGCCGACAAGACCGCAUACGCUUCUCUUUUCAAGGGGAGAAGGAAAGCUUUUCGCAAGAGAGGCGCUGGGAGAUGGGCCUGCGGCCGAUUAGCUAGCUGGUGGGGUAAUGGCCUACCAGGGCGACGAUCGGUAGCUGGUCUGAGAGGACGAUCAGCCACACUGGGAUUGAGAACGGCCCAGACUCCUACGGGGGGCAGCAGUGAGGAAUUUUCGGCAAUGGGGGCAACCCUGACCGAGCAACGCCGCGUGCAGGACGACGGCCUUCGGGUUGUAAACUGCUUUUCUCUGGGACGAGCAAGGACGGUACCAGAGGAAGAAGCCCGGCUAACUACGUGCCAGCAGCCGCGGU
rnacentral:rRNA from 1 species